rnacentral:rRNA from 1 species
GGCUGGCACAUAAUCUAACUUGGCCGCCACUUGAGACUCGCCUGGGACGGCAGAGACGCGACGACUCUUGAAGCAACCGCUCCUCCCUUCCCCUGCUCUACACCAACCCCCACGGCCGGCCCCAAUCCAACCAGACCCUGCCGCUGGCCUCAGUCGAGGGAGGCGGAGCGGACGCAGCCAACCACUCGGGCGGCGGAGCGAGCUGAUGGCCGGCCCGGGCGCCGACGAGCACCAGAAGCGGCGCCGGGGGCGGCCCUCGCCCGCCGAUCUGCUCCUCAACUGCGACCUGCCCCCUCCGGCCAAACUCUUCGGCCCCCUCCCGACUCUUCUUCACAGAUUGGAGAGCGCGGCGGGGGCGGAUAAGAAGGGCGACGGCGGCAACGAGGAGCUGCGGCGGGCGCUGCGGCUGUCGCAGUCGCGGGCGCGGGAGGCGGAGCGGAAGCUUGCCGCGGCCAGCGGAGGCCUGGCAGCGCUGCUCGUGCGGGACUCGGUGCUGCUCUCGGCGCACCGCCGGUGGGUCAUGAUGCUCGAGGCCGAGAACUCCGCGCUCAGAGCCGCGGGCGCCGAGCCUGAAGAUGAUGAGGAAGAUGGUGAUGCCGCCCGGCGCGGUGUCGCCGCCGCGUGGUGGGUCGCGCUGGCGGUCUGCGUCGUCGGCCUCGCCCUCGGCAACCUCCUGCUCUGAGAUUAACCAUGUAUCCUUGUUAAGUUUCAGUGAUUUCCUUCUGUGAAUCCUGCUCUGAAAUUGAAAAUUAACCAUCCCAUCCAUCCUUACAGCUUCAGUGAUCCAUAGUUGGGUCACAGUGGCUGAUUGUGUGAGAAUGUUAACAUCUGCUUGAUGUUCUGCAUUGGAAGCUCGUGUUGUUGUAGAUCAAUAGACGAAAUCUGCUUGAUUGGUCCGGAAGCCGCCGUAACCAUCUCUGCACGCUAUCAUCUACUCUAUCAGGAGAUUCAUGACAGUGACUUGCCUCUUAUAGUACAAUUAGCCUGGUUUGGAUAACUGUGGGCUUCAAGUCGUGUUGAAUAUGGAAAGCUUCUCUAGCCAUGGCAUAGUGAUCCAUGACAGAUGACUGACUGCGACAUUUCUUCAGGUUGGAAUUGGUGGCUAAUCAACUAUGGAGGCCUUGUUUGUUCUAUUUGGUCUUUCAGCUGAUGGUGCUGUCCUUCAGGUCACCUGGUUGCAGCUUAUAUAUGUUGAGUGUCAGCAGUUCAGCCUUCCUUUGCCAUGUUUAUUAGAUGUCUUUAUCUCCCCAGUUUGUGUCCGGUGUAAUCUGUGAGGGCUUCCAGUCUGAGACUGACCUCAAGUUAUGUAAAUGAGGGCAUCAUUGUCGUGCUUCUCCAGAUAUCGUCCUCCUCUGCCUCUAUCACCUCGAAGAGGCGCACGUGCUUCGCCUCGUUAACGCGGAGCUGCCAAUACUCGCGAUGUCGCCCAUGGACGAGCACACCGCCCAAAUUUUCAGUUUUUCUUUUCUUUUCGAGAAGUAUGGUUGUGCUUUCCGCG